ACAUUUUUUGCACUUUAUCAUCUAAAGUUUUUACAUUAGCUGAAUGUCCUGAAACUACAUCAUUCAAUCAUGUUGUAGUUUGUUUGUUCCAGAGUCAGAGAGCCGUGUCUCUGUACAGUCAGAGGUUUUUGUACGGCGGUUCAAUGAGUUUGUAUCACUGUGGUACACGUUCGGUGGAGGAACCAGACUGGAUGUUGGAAUCAGAGGUUUUUGUACGGUGGUUCAAUGAGUUUGUAUCAUUGUGGUGGACUUUUGGUGGAGGAACCAGACUGGAGCUUGGAAGUGAUGCCCGUCCCACCCUGACGGUGCUGCCCCCCUCUAGUGAGGAGAUAAAGAAGGGCCAUGCCACACUUACAUGUCUGGCCAACAAGGGCUUCCCCUCAGACUGGAGUCUGUCCUGGAAGGUGGACGGCAGCAGCAGCAGCAGCUAUGAGGAGAGCAGGAGCCCCGGGGUGCUGCAGAAGGACGGCCACUACAGCUGGAGCAGCACCCUGAGGGUCCCUGCAGACCAGUGGAGGAAGGUGGGCUCUGUGACCUGUGAGGCCACCCAGGGCUCCCAGACUCCACUCUCAGAGACACUGAGGAGAGACCAGUGUUCCCAGUACUGACCUGAUUCACUGGGAUUCAACUUUGUCUUUGUCUUUCACC